rnacentral:misc_RNA from 1 species
GGCAGUUAUAAGAUUGACGGGGAGAAACCAACAUAUUUAAAUACAACCAAAUCUCUUCAUUUUAGUUUACUAAUGAAAAAUCUUGAUUUGCUGGAAAACAUGUUUGCUGAUUCAGAGAUGUCAAGAUUAGAAAGAGAUAUUUUAGUGCAACUAGAAAAGCUUGGAGCUUUAGAAUUCUUUCAUACUUGUCUCUCAAGGACACAUCAUUCUUCUAGUUUUCCUAAGGUUCUUGAUGUGCCAAGGGAGCUAAUUAAAGAAGUUGAGAAAGAUGAUCUUGUCGGAAAUGCAAUGGAUAAGGUUGUCGUACGUUCUAGGAAAAAGCAAGAGCGUAU